rnacentral:rRNA from 1 species
GAUGAACGCUGGCGGCGUGCCUAAUACAUGCAAGUCGAGCGAACAGAUGAGGAGCUUGCUCCUUUGACGUUAGCGGCGGACGGGUGAGUAACACGUGGAUAACCUACCUAUAAGACUGGGAUAACUUCGGGAAACCGGAGCUAAUACCGGAUAAUAUAUUGAACCGCAUGGUUCAAUAGUGAAAGACGGCUUUGCUGUCACUUAUAGAUGGAUCCGCGCCGCAUUAGCUAGUUGGUAAGGUAACGGCUUACCAAGGCAACGAUGCGUAGCCGACCUGAGAGGGUGAUCGGCCACACUGGAACUGAGACACGGUCCAGACUCCUACGGGAGGCAGCAGUAGGGAAUCUUCCGCAAUGGGCGAAAGCCUGACGGAGCAACGCCGCGUGAGUGAUGAAGGUCUUCGGAUCGUAAAACUCUGUUAUUAGGGAAGAACAAAUGUGUAAGUAACUAUGCACGUCUUGACGGUACCUAAUCAGAAAGCCACGGCUAACUACGUG